UACGGAGAACUCAAGCGUUACCCGGAAUCACUGGGCGUAAAGCGUUGCGUGGGCGGCUUUGCAAGUCAGGUCUUAAAGGCCGAGGCUCAACCUCGGCAAUGGGCUUGAUACUACAAGGCUAGAGGAUGGUAGAGGUGAGUGGAAUUGCUGGUGUAGGAGUGAAAUCCGUAGAUAUCAGCAGGAACACCAAUGGCGAAGGCAGCUCACUGGACCAUUCCUGACGCUCAGGCACGAAAGCGUGGGGAGCGAACCGG
rnacentral:rRNA from 1 species